rnacentral:rRNA from 1 species
AGAGUUUGAUCCUGGCUCAGAACGAACGCUGGCGGCGCGUUUUAAGCAUGCAAGUCGAGCGGCAAGGGUAGCAAUACCCCUAGAGCGGCGGACGGGUGAGUAACACGUGGACAACCUGCCCUUAGGUGAGGGAUAGCCCAGGGAAACCUGGAUUAAUACCUUAUAAGACCACUGAUAGGAGUAUGAGUGGGGAAAGGUGCUACGGCGCCGCCUGAGGAUGGAUCUGCGUCCCAUUAGCUAGAUGGUAGGGUAAAGGCCUACCAUGGCGACGAUGGGUAGCCGGCCUGAGAGGGUGAACGGCCACACUGGAACUGAGAGACGGUCCAGACUCCUACGGGAGGCAGCAGCUAAGAAUCUUCCGCAAUGGGCGCAAGCCUGACGGAGCGACGCCGCGUGAACGAUGAAGGCCGCAAGGUUGUAAAGUUCUUUUCGGGAAGGAGAAUAAGGGGAGCAGGCAAUGGCUUUCCGAUGCCGUGAAUCCCGGAAUAAGCCCCGGCUAACUACGUGCCAGCAGCCGCGGUAACACGUAGGGGGCGAGCGUUGUUCGGAAUCAUUGGGCGUAAAGGGCGCGCAGGCGGCGUAUAAAGUCUGGCGUGAAAGUCCCCGGCUCAACCGGGGGAUAGCGUUGGAAACUGGUAUGCUUGAGUACGAGAGGGGAUGGCGGAAUUCCAGGUGUAGGGGUGAAAUCUGUAGAUAUCUGGAGGAACACCGACGGCGAAGGCAGCCAUCUGGUUCAGUACUGACGCUGAGGCGCGAAGGUGCGGGGAGCAAACAGGUUUAGAUACCCUGGUAGUCCGCACAGUAAACGAUGUGCACCAGGUGUCGGGCAACAGCUGUUCGGUACCGAAGCAAACGCGAUAAGUGCACCGCCUGGGGAGUAUGCCCGCAAGGGUGAAACUCAAUGAAUUGACGG